GGGAAUGUUGCUCAGUGGUAGAGUGUGUUCUUAGCAUGCACAAGGCCCUGAGUUCAAUCCUCAGCCCCA
rnacentral:tRNA from 1 species